GAGGUCUAAUACCGGAUAUGACACUGGAUCGCAUGAUUCGGUGUGGAAAGUUCCGGCGGUAUGGGAUGGACCCGCGGCCUAUCAGCUUGUUGGUGGGGUAAUGGCCUACCAAGGCGACGACGGGUAGCCGGCCUGAGAGGGUGACCGGCCACACUGGGACUGAGACACGGCCCAGACUCCUACGGGAGGCAGCAGUGGGGAAUAUUGCACAAUGGGCGAAAGCCUGAUGCAGCGACGCCGCGUGAGGGAUGACGGCCUUCGGGUUGUAAACCUCUUUCAGCAGGGACGAAGCGCAAGUGACGGUACCUGCAGAAGAAGCACCGGCUAACUACGUGCCAGCAGCCGCGGUAAUACGUAGGGUGCGAGCGUUGUCCGGAAUUAUUGGGCGUAAAGAGCUCGUAGGCGGUUUGUCGCGUCGGCCGUGAAAACUUGGGGCUUAACUCCAAGCUUGCGGUCGAUACGGGCAGACUUGAGUUCGGCAGGGGAGACUGGAAUUCCUGGUGUAGCGGUGAAAUGCGCAGAUAUCAGGAGGAACACCGGUGGCGAAGGCGGGUCUCUGGGCCGACACUGACGCUGAGGAGCGAAAGCGUGGGGAGCGAACAGGAUUAGAUACCCUGGUAGUCCACGCCGUAAACGGUGGGUGCUAGGUGUGGGGGGCUUCCACGCCCUCUGUGCCGCAGCUAACGCAUUAAGCACCCCGCCUGGGGAGUACGGCCGCAAGGCUAAAACUCAAAGGAAUU
rnacentral:rRNA from 1 species